CGGUAACUUUGCUGCCGCGGCUUCGGCAGUCUUUUAAUUGCCUCUAUUUAAUAAACUUCCAGCCGGAUCAUUGUAGGGACCAGCUGACCGUAAUUCCUGACUUGGCCCACUGUACCAUUGAAAAAGGUCACCAGAAAUGUACGCACCUAUUCUAUUGUAGCUGUUCUUUGCUGCUAAAUGCUCUGAUUCAGCGGAGGUUGCGCGCUUUCUCUCGAUUAGGGCUGUACGUUGCUCACUAGUUAGACAGAAUAAACAGUUAUAUAUAUAUAUUUAAUUAAAAGUUUUUUAAUAAAUUGACGAUUUAUAACUGUUUUGGGCGACCUUUAAUUUUUAAAUAUUAAAUUAGCUGGCUCGAGGUCCAAGGAUAAAUUUAUCAUUUGUAGUGCCAACCAAGUUCCGAAGGAAGACAUAUCCCUUUUUUCAUAUCUAGUAAACAAUAUUAUUAAAAUGCCUAGUUAAAGAGAAACCAAUAAUCAAUAUUUAAAUAAAAAUUAAUUAAAGUGAUCGUGCAUUAAGGGCUUCCGCAUAAGUAGCACUUAAAAUCGCGACUCUUUCAUCAGCUGCAGUCGAGAUCAAAUUCCCUCGACAAAAUACCGGAGCGAUAUCCGCACGGAGCGAUAUCUUCGUCCGACAGUGACGAAGAAUCAAUUACCCCAAGGAACCCCCAGAGACAAAAUAUGGACACUCAAAGUCUGCGACCAAUAUUAGAUUAACGCUGCGCUUGCCAAACAGAGCAAACAGACAGGAGCUCAAACAGGAGUUGGGACAGGUUGGAGAA